AGGUGGCCUUGCAGGUCCCCUGGACCGGAACUUGGGUAUUUGUUUUCUGCGAAAGCCAGAGAGAGUGAUCUUGGGCCAAGACUUAAGCUUCUCUUGCCUAAGAGGCCCCUGUGGAUUAGUGCCCAGAUGAUUUAGGGGAACAACUUCAAGUUUGCAAGCUCCCAGCAGAUCUCUGUACAAUGCAGAAUAAGAAAUCAUGGGAGUUUGAGGAAAACAAUAGUCAAGUCCCUGCUCCUUUGAUAAAAAGAAUUUGAAGGACUCUAAUUUGCAUAUUUAAUGGAAAUUCCAUCCACGGAUGCAGCUGGGGAAAGAGCUGGACCUUACAGCCGGUACGAGAGAGCUGCAAAGAGACUCAAAGAAGAGCAAAUCACUUUGCAGAGAGGGAGAG